GACGUAGGGCGCGAGCGUUGUCCGGAUUUAUUGGGCGUAAAGAGCUCGUAGGCGGCUUGUCGCGUCGACUGUGAAAUCCCGCGGCUCAACCGCGGGUCUGCAGUCGAUACGGGCAGGCUAGAGUUCGGUAGGGGAGACUGGAAUUCCUGGUGUAGCGGUGAAAUGCGCAGAUAUCAGGAGGAACACCGAUGGCGAAGGCAGGUCUCUGGGCCGAUACUGACGCUGGAGGAAGCGAAAGCGUGGGGAGCGAACAGG
rnacentral:rRNA from 1 species